UACGUAGGGUGCAAGCGUUGUCCGGAAUUAUUGGGCGUAAAGGGCUCGUAGGCGGUUUGUCGCGUCGGGAGUGAAAUCCACUGGCUUAACUGGUGGCCUGCUUUCGAUACGGGCAGACUGGAGGUAUGCAGGGGAGAACGGAAUUCCUGGUGUAGCGGUGAAAUGCGCAGAUAUCAGGAGGAACACCGGUGGCGAAGGCGGUUCUCUGGGCAUGUCCUGACGCUGAGGAGCGAAAGUGUGGGGAGCGAACAGG
rnacentral:rRNA from 1 species